CAGUCGCCGCGGUAAUACGAAGGGUGCAAGCGUUACUCGGAAUUACUGGGCGUAAAGCGUGCGUAGGUGGUGGUUUAAGUCCGUUGUGAAAGCCCUGGGCUCAACCUGGGAAUUGCAGUGGAUACUGGGUCACUAGAGUGUGGUAGAGGAUAGUGGAAUUUCCGGUGUAGCAGUGAAAUGCGUAGAGAUCGGAAGGAACAUCUGUGGCGAAGGCGACUAUCUGGGCCAACACUGACACUGAGGCACGAAAGCGUGGGGAGCAAACAGGACUAGAUACCCCUGUAGUCCCUGUCUCUUAUAC
rnacentral:rRNA from 1 species